rnacentral:pre_miRNA from 1 species
GGGGGGAGGCUGGAUCCUGGGCUGUGUCCCGGCGCCCUGUGCUCUGGGCCUGCGCUGUUGGAUUCGUGCUCUGAGCUGCUCCCGGAGCCUCAC